rnacentral:rRNA from 1 species
UACGUAGGGUGCAAGCGUUGUCCGGAAUUAUUGGGCGUAAAGAGCUCGUAGGCGGUCUGUCGCGUCGGCUGUGAAAUCCCGAGGCUCAACCUCGGGUCUGCAGUCGAUACGGGCAAACUAGAGUAUUGCAGGGGAGACUGGAAUUCCUGGUGUAGCGGUGAAAUGCGCAGAUAUCAGGAGGAACACCGGUGGCGAAGGCGGUUGCCUGGGGCUUUGCUGACGCUGAUGCGCGAAAGCGUGGGGAGCGAUCCGG